GUUCCUGUAGUUAAAGGCUAUAACGGUGGCUUUUCAGGCCACAGAUCCUGGAGGGAACCAGGUAGGAACU
rnacentral:tRNA from 1 species